GCGAAAGCGGAACAGCCCAAACCGUCGGGAUUUAUCCUGACGGGGUUAUAGGACCAUAAUGUGAGACCGUAAGAGUUAAGCGAACACUCUGGAAAGUGUGACCAUAGCGGGUGACAGUCCCGUAGUUUAAAACUCAAGCGGCUCUAGUGGUAUCCUGAGUAGCACCGUACACGUGAAAUCCGGUGUGAAUUCGUGCCGACCACGGCAUAAGGCUAAAUACUCGAUGAAGACCGACAGUGAACUAGUACCGCGAGGGAAA
rnacentral:rRNA from 1 species